GAUGAACGCUGGCGGCGUGACUAAUACAUGCGAGUCGAGCGAACAGAUAAGGAGCUUGCUCCUUUGAAGUUAGCGGCGGACGGGUGAGUAACACGUGGGUAACCUACCUAUAAGACUGGGAUAACUUCGGGAAACCGGAGCUAAUACCGGAUAACAUUUAGAACCGCAUGGUUCUAAAGUGAAAGAUGGUUUUGCAAUCACUUAUGGAUGGACCCGCGCCGUAUUAGCUAGUUGGUAAGGUAACGGCUUACCAAGGCGACGAUACGUAGCCGACCUGAGAGAGUGAUCGGCCACACUGGAACUGAGACACGGUCCAGACUCCUACGGGAGGCAGCAGUAGGGAAUCUUCCGCAAUGGGCGAAAGCCUGACGGAGCAACGCCGCGUGAGUGAUGAAGGGUUUCGGCUCGUAAAACUCUGUUAUUAGGGAAGAACAAAUGUGUAAGUAACUGUGCACAUCUUGACGGUACCUAAUCAGAAAGCCACGGCUAACUACGUG
rnacentral:rRNA from 1 species